rnacentral:lncRNA from 1 species
CCUUUUUUCUCAUCUUGGAAAUGUUUAUUACUGUAUUUUUUCAGGUCUGAUUAUCUAGAAGAUUUGAAUGCUCUUAAUGCCCUUUGAAAGAAAAGUUUGGAGAAGAUUGCAAUGAUUUUUCUCAUUCCUAUUUCAAAGCGUUCAGCAGUCAGGAUGCUUGCUUGGAGUAAUGGCAAAAAUCCAAAUCUUUUCGGAAUUGAUGGUUUUACAUGAUUAUAGAAUAGAGAUGACUCAUCAUCUUAAAUAUGCCUGUAAGAGAACUUGCCACAACAUUGAUGAGUUUUAGGCGUUCUGAGAACUCCAAGCUUUACCAAAGAAAAGGAAAAUGAAAAAACUGUAUGUGAAUUCAAAAGUAUCAGACAGAUGGAAAGAGCACCGUUGCUUCAUUUCCUGUGUGACAAGAAGGCCAGAUAAUAACUAUGUAAAACUCAUCUUCUGUGAUUGCAACAAAACUGUCUUUUCUACAGAAAAUCUGUAAGAAAAGAAAGGGAAGUAUUCUCUUACUGUUGAGUGCAAUGAAGUACAUCUCAAAUUUAC